CGUCGUCUCUGAGCUCUUGCUACCUGCUCCGUCUUCGUGAUCUGUAGCUACUCUGCUCGCGCCCUGAGAGUGGAUCCCCAAUAACCUUUCUUGGCUGCUCCUUUCUUUUGCCACAUGACCGAGGUCUCCUUUCUUUGCUCGCCCCAUUAAAGUAGAUCGCUAUCGCUGUCCUGUCUACAGAAACCGCGGAGCAAUUCCUUCUCUCAGCCCUUCGUGGUUUCUUAAGUUGAAGCUCUAACCUGCAAAGGCACUCUCCCCAACGCCCAGCACUGAAUGGAGGGAAACUGUGACUCCUCCUCGGUGGUGCUAGACCUACCUGAAACUCAUGUACACAUUGUAGCUACCUUUGUCCCUACACACUAAUCUCCCUUCAGAUAUUUCCUGCAGCAGCUUUAGGCGCUCAUUUUUAUUCUCAUUUCGCUUGUAGAAAUGCAAAGGGUAACUUUGCUCAUGAUGAAACUAAGCCUUUUUUAGACCACACUUCUCACUUUCCUUGUCACAUUUGCUAACGGAGACUUUUUUAAACCCUAAGUGACCAGAAGCAUAACUCCCCCUCUACAGAUUUCCAGAGAGCGUCAGAAUAGUGAAAUAUUGCCGUACAGAUAUCUUCUCUAGAUUCGUGUAAAAUAAAUACUUGUGACACCACCUCUUAUCUCCACAAGUAUCUCCACCUCUUAAAAAAACACUACUGAAAUCCUAAAACAAAUCUAGUAUCAAGGGACUUUCUGUAUCUUAAAUGAUUCUCUUUUCAAGAAAACAGCAAAUAUAAAUGCCAACUCACACAAACCAUAACUUAAGUUCUUUGGCUUAUUGUGGAUUUUUUAUACUCAAAGCCAUCCUCUUCUCAACCAUAAGAAAAGGAUUCCAAUCUAGAAUAGUGACUACUCUUAUUGUGUAGGAAAAAAGUAACCUCAGAACUUGAAGCUAAGUUCAAGUGUUAUUCCCAAAGUAUCCCAAGGAUGACUUGGAAGAAGUGCAUGGUAGUUCCCAGCUGGGCUUGAACAGUUUUGGCAAUGAGUGCAUUAGUAUUUGAGCUG
rnacentral:lncRNA from 1 species